rnacentral:tRNA from 1 species
GCCUUCGUGGUGUAAUGGUCAGCACACUGAGCCGGUAUUUCAGAGGUCCGUGGUUCGAUCCCCUGUGAAGUCA